rnacentral:rRNA from 1 species
GAUGAACGCUGGCGGCAUGCCUUACACAUGCAAGUCGAACGGUAACAGGUCUUCGGAUGCUGACGAGUGGCGAACGGGUGAGUAAUACAUCGGAACGUGCCCGAUCGUGGGGGAUAACGAGGCGAAAGCUUUGCCAAUACCGCAUAGGAUCUAUGGAUGAAAGCAGGGGACCGCAAGGCCUUGCGCGAACGGAGCGGCCGAUGGCAGAUUAGGUAGUUGGUGGGGUAAAGGCUUACCAAGCCUACGAUCUGUAGCUGGUCUGAGAGGACGACCAGCCACACUGGGACUGAGACACGGCCCAGACUCCUACGGGAGGCAGCAGUGGGGAAUUUUGGACAAUGGGCGCAAGCCUGAUCCAGCCAUGCCGCGUGCAGGAUGAAGGCCUUCGGGUUGUAAACUGCUUUUGUACGGAACGAAAAGCCUUCUUCUAAUAAAGGGAGGUCAUGACGGUACCGUAAGAAUAAGCACCGGCUAACUACGUGCCAGCCGCCGCGGUAA